AUGCGGGAAGCGAACAGACAGCAGCCAGAGGAGGCAGCCUUGUUUUCUGUGCUGAAAAAAGUAAUUCUAAGGUUCAAUGCAGUGAAAUACCCAAAGAGGGGAGAAAUCUGGAAGGAUGAAUGUUAUCAGAAUUUUUCAAACAGUAGGAGAAAAAAAAUCAGCUGGUUUGCAGUGAAAAGGCAUCUGUGCUUAGAGUUUAGUUCUCUCUUCAUCCUUUACUGAAUUAUAUUUGAUGAAUCCAAAAUAAGUGAAAUGUCAUUUCUCAACUACCUGAGUGGUUGGAAAAACAAAAACAAAAACAGAACAGAAGCCCCUUUUCGUGGUACAAAAUGACAUCCUAGGAUUUAUAGAUAAGUAUGUACAGAAACCAAAGCAACAGAGUUAGUGGUGAAGGUCCUUUGUCUGCUGAACCACCUCUUCAGCAAAGUGAAAGACCACUAAAAUGACGUCUUUAUUGGUAAGUGCCUCUUUUCAGUAAGUACUGAUCAAACCAAUCAUUUAAAACAUGUGUAGUUGGGAGAAACUCCUCAGCUUCAUGAACACUGUUUACUAAUGAUCUCCUGAUCUCUGCUCCUUUUGACAGGAUUGGAGCUGAUAUUUAUUGGGAAGAGACGAGAGGCCUGGUUUAAGUAAAUUACUCCACAUCUUGGAGGACUGAGGCAGAACUAAAAGCAAGAAGCCCAUAGGGUUCCCUUUGUGGCUCAGCAAUAACGAAUCCAACUAUUAUCCAUGAGGACACGGAUUCCAUCCCUGGCCUCGCUCAGUGAGUUAAGGAUCCAGUGUUGCCAUGAGCUGUGGUGUUGGCUGGCAGCUACAGCUCCAAUUUGACCCCUAGCCUGGGAACUUCCAUAUGCUUCGUGUGCAGCCUUAAAAAGAACAAAAAAAAAAAAAAAAUGAAGCCCAUAAACGUUCUAGAGAAAUGGUUCCCAAGGGUGCAAAUAUUUCCUAUUGCAGAUGCAGGAGGAAGCUCCCAUGAGCAUUGGAGAGCAGAAACAUUGAAAAGCAGAGUUGACAAUCCAGGUAACCACCUCCUCACUUUUACUUCUGUGAGAGCUCAUCCUUCAAACAACCAUCCUGACAUCUACCCUGACAGCCAUCAAUUGUAGAGGAUGCACAUGGAGCUCGAUACAUUAUUUGCUCUGCUUUGUCUGAUUUCAGCAGCAGCUGCAGGCUGAGGGUGUCACACCAUGACUGGCCACUGUUCUUAAGUUUUUCUCUAAAACCAAGGGAAGUUGCUCCGGAAGUGUGGGAGAAUUAAUUUCCCAGAGGGACACCGUUAUGCAGUGGGAGAUUGGAGUCAUUAAUAAAAAUGCCCCAAGCACCCAUUCUUUGGUGGGGCAAUUCUGAGGUGCAUUCUGCAAGGCUUCUCAAAAGGUCUUGAGUCUCAUUUGCUCACAGCAAUAGCCAGCUUGAACGAAAGACACCUUUUAAAGCUCUUUGGUCUCAUUCUCCUUACCUUUCUUGCUUGCUUCCUGGCAUAAUCUCCUCUUUCCACCCACCUCCACAUCUGCCUGCACUUAAGUCUCGUCUCUGCCAGUCAAAGAACCAAAUCUCAAGACUCUGUAUUCUGGUUUGGAUAAGGCCUGGCUUCUCCCUUUCAGCUCAUUCUUCAAUGGCCAGAAGAAGCAUUCGAGAAUUGCUGUUAACUUUCUUACUCUGGCUUUCCUGAAGUGAAUCUUCACCCAUCUGGCACCUCUUGGGGGAAUAUAAAAUCCUAUGACUGGCAGUACCGACUAUAUUCCCUUGCAGAGCUGCAAAUGCCUUUCCAGGUUAGGAUGCAAGGGACAGGGAGUUUACUAGAAACCCCGAUCUCAUCUAGGCAGAGCACUUCCAGGGAUUAGGAAAGCCUCCAGGACUGUCUGCCUACAACACAGCUUUGGUGUUCAUCUCCAAGUGCCUGCACCUCAGGGAGAUUUCUCUGAAUGACUUCAUUCUAUCUGGAACAAGAGGGGAAAAUAUCAUACUAUUGCAUGCCCUUCACACAUCUAGUUCACUAUUCCUGCAACCAAGUUACGCAUUUACUUGUGCAACCAAGAGGAUAUGCUUUGCUCUUUAAGAUACUCUGAAGUCUGAUCAGAGAGGUGAAAACUCUGGGAAUAGUCAUAAAGCGUAUUCCCUUAUAUUGUUCAGACAGGCAUAGUAAUAUAAGGGGCAAAGUAUGUGCUGAGAGUCAGGUCUGAAUUUGAAGACAAACUUAACUAUCAACUAGUAACAGGUAGUAGUUAACACUGAUGUUCCACUCAGAAUUCCUUCAGGAAUGAGGAGUGUUUUCCUGCAAUGGCUGGGAAUCUCCAAUUUCUCCUGGAAAUCCUCUGCCCAAGGGCACCCCUCUUCUAAAGGCAGCUGGCACAUAUCAUUCAAUGGUUGGCUUACAGGCAUAUAUAAAGACCUGACUACUCAGGCCAAGUUAGAACAACUGUGAAGCUCAGAGCACAGCUCCCAUUUGGUUGGAUGAGGCCUUUUUUGGAAUCCCCAUCAUGGCUUACCGUCUCCUUCCCUUCCCUCUGUAGGGAUCUUCUGAUUCUGAUCACAUGCCCUAAUAAACUGUCUGCAUGCGAAUGCCAUCUCAGAAUCUGCAUUCUAGGACACCCAGUCAAUGGCACCAUAUGCAGGGCUUGAUGAAGACAGGUGAGGUCUUUGGAAAACCAACAAUACAGCCCAAUUUAAAAAAUAUAUAUUUUCCUUUGAUAAACCCUUAGCCAGACCUAUCAAAAAGAGAGAGAGAGAGAGAAGACUCAAAUCAAUAAAAUUAGAAAUGAAAAAGGAGAAGUUACAAUGGACAUCACGGAAAUACAAAGGAUCAUAAAAGACUUCUACAAACCUAGAAGAAAUAGACAAAUUCUUAGAAAAGUACAAUCUUCCAAGAGUAAACCAAACAAAAUAGAAAAGAUGAAUGGACCAAUUAUAAGUACUAAAAACUUCCAAUGAAGAAAAGUCCAGGACCAGAUGACUUCACAGGAGAAUUCUAUCAAACAUUUAUAGAAGAGCUAACACCUACACUUCUGAAACUAUUCCAGAAAAUUUCAGAGGAAGGAACAUUCCCAGACUCAUUCUAUGAGGCCACCAUCACCCUGAUACCAAAACCAGACAAGAUAACACCAAAAAAGAAAACUACAGGCCAAUUUCACUGAUGAACAUAGACGCAGAAAUCCUCAACCAAAUACUAGCAAACCGCAUCCAACAACACAUUAAAAG
rnacentral:lncRNA from 9 species